rnacentral:rRNA from 1 species
AGUUAAAAAGCUCGUAGUUGGAUUUCGGAGUGGGCCAGUUGGUCCGCCGCAAGGUGUGUUACUGACUGGUUUGCUCUUCUGCGCAAAGACUGCGUGUGCUCUUUGUUGAGUGUGCGUAGGAUUUACGUCGGUUACUUUGAAAAAAUUAGAGUGUUCAAAGCAGGCUAUUGCUUGAAUACAUGAGCAUGGAAUAAUGGAAUAGGACUUUGGUCCCAUUUUGUUGGUUUCUAGGACCGAAGUAAUGAUUAAGAGGGACAAUUGGGGGCAUCCGUAUUUCGUUGUCAGAGGUGAAAUUCUUGGAUUUGCGAAAGACGAACAACUGCGAAAGCACUUGCCAAGAGUGUUUUCAUUAAUCAAGAACGAAAGUUAGAGGAUCGAAGACGAUCAGAUACCGUCCUUGUUCUAACCAUAAACGAUGUCGACUAGGGAUCAGCGGGCGUUAUCGUACGACCCCGUUGGCACCUUACGGGAAACCAAAGUUUCUGGAUUCCGGGGGAAGUAUAGUCGCAAGGCCGAAACUUAAAGGAAUUGACGGAAGGGCACCACCAGGAGUGGAGCCUGUGGCUCAAUUUGACUCAACACGGGAAAACUUACCAGGUCCAGACAUAGUAAGGAUUGACA